UUGGUUAUGCUAAUAAGAGCGUAUGGUGGAUGCCUUGGCACUAAGAGCCGAUGAAAGACGUGAUAAGCUGCGAAAAGCUUCGGGGAGGAGCAAAUAUCCAUUGAUCCGGAGAUUUCUGAAUGGGGAAACCUACUUGAGAAGACCUCAAGUAUCCACAGCCCAAUCCAUAAGCUGUGGAAGGGAACCCGGUGAACUGAAACAUCUAAGUAGCCGGAGGAAGAGAAAACAACAUGUGAUUCCGUAAGUAGCGGCGAGCGAACGCGGAAGAGCCCAAACCGGAGUGCGUGCACUCCGGGGUUCGGACUGCAGGAUUGACGAGUGAGCCUAGUAGAAUGGUUUUGGGAAAGCCAGCCAGAGAGGGUGAAAGCCCCGUACACGAAAGGCAAGCGAGCAUGGCAGGAUCCAGAGUACCACGAGACACGUGAAACCUUGUGGGAAUGAGCGGGGACCACCCCGUAAGGCUAAAUACUCCUUAGUGACCGAUAGCGCAUAGUACUGUGAAGGAAAGGUGAAAAGGACCCCGGGAGGGGAGUGAAAGAGAACCUGAAACCAUAUGUUUACAAGCUGUGGAACAUCUUUAUAUGAUGAACCGCGUACUUUUUGUAGAACGGUCCGGCGAGUUACGCUGGCUGGCGAGGUUAAGGGCUGAAGGCCUGGAGCCGAAGGGAAACCGAGUCUGAACAGGGCGAAAUAGUCAGUCGGAGUAGACCCGAAACCGGGUGAUCUAUCCAUGUCCAGGUUGAAGUUGCCGUAAAAGGCAAUGGAGGACCGAACCCACAUCCGUUGAAAAGGGUGGGGAUGAGGUGUGGAUAGGGGAGAAAUUCCAAUCGAACCCGGAGAUAGCUGGUUCUCCUCGAAAUAGCUUUAGGGCUAGCCUCAUGCAAGUCUUACGGAGGUAGAGCACUGAAUUCCUAAGGGGGCGUCAAAGCUUACCAAGGGAUAUCAAACUCCGAAUGCCGUGUAGAUGGUGCAUGGGAGUCAGACUAUCCGAGAUAAGUUGGGUAGUCAAAAGGGAAAGAGCCCAGACCUACAGCUAAGGUCCCAAAAUGUGUGUUAAGUGGAAAAGGAUGUGGGAUUUCGAAGACAACUAGGAUGUUGGCUUAGAAGCAGCCAUCCAUUAAAAGAGUGCGUAAUAGCUCACUAGUCGAGAGGUCCUGCGCCGAAAAUGUCCGGGGCUGAAACACACUACCGAAGCUUGGGAAUUGACGAAUGUUAAUUGGUAGAGGAGCAUUCUUAACGGGGCGAAGCUGUACCGGAAG
rnacentral:rRNA from 1 species